CGGUAAUUCCAGCUCCAAUAGCGUAUAUUAAAGUUGUUGCAGUUAAAAGCUCGUAGUUGAAUUCGGGGUCAGCAGGUUGGUCGUGCCACUGGCAUGUACUGGCUUUGCUGAUUCCUCCUUCUUGUAGAACCGUAAUGCCAUUAAUUUGGUGUUGCGGGAAACAGGACUGUUACUUUGAAAAAAUUAGAGUGUUUAAAGCAGGCUAACGCUUGAAUACAUUAGCAUGGAAUAAUGAAAUAGGACGAGCGAUCCUAUUUUGUUGGUUUCUAGGAUUGACGUAAUGAUUAAUAGGGAUAGUUGGGGGCAUUAGUAUUCAAUUGUCAGAGGUGAAAUUCUUGGAUUUAUUGAAGACUAACUACUGCGAAAGCAUUUGCCAAGGAUGUUUUCAUUAAUCAAGAACGAAAGUUAGGGGGAUCGAAGACGAUCAGAUACCGUCGUAGUCUUAACCAUAAACUAUGCCGACUAGGGAUUGGAUGAUGUUAAUUUUAUAAUGACUCAUUCGGCGCCUUACG
rnacentral:rRNA from 1 species